AGUCACUGACAUUAGACUACCCCGUAGUCCCAGCCGUAAACAAUGUGCGUUAGGUGUGUCGGUAACCACGCGUUACUGAUGCGCCGAAGAGAAAUCGUGAAACGCACCACCUGGGAAGUACGGUCGCAAGGCUGAAACUUAAAGGAAUUGGCGGGGAGCACCACAACAGGUGGAGCCUGCGGUUUAAUUGGAUUCAACGCCGGACAUCUCACCGGAUAAGACAGCUGAAUGAUUGUCAAUCUGAAGGUUUUACAUGACUAGCUG
rnacentral:rRNA from 1 species